AACGAAUCGACCGACCUGUCUUUUGAUUCCCCUCUUUGCUCCAUUCUCAUUGACUCUGUUCCACCAAGCGCUACCCACCCAGAGCGACCAUGCCGGCGCCGCUCGCCGCCGCUCCCUUGUCCCGUUUAACCCCCAUGCUCACGCCUCCCUCCGUGAAGCUCCUGGGUAGCCUGGUCUACAGCUUACCUAUCGUCGCCUCACCAUUGUAUCUCCGACUCCGUGCGCUUCCACCGGUGCUUUGGAAGCCGGCCACGGUGAACGACGUGCCAGAUUCUGUAUUCGUGCUCAUCUACCGCCCACCUCACCUUUCGUCCGAAGGACAACUUCAGCAACGCCUACAUCCGCGAACCCUAGCGGCUACGACGACGCAGCGCCCGCUGGCGACGAUGUCGAUCACCGCCACCAUCGGCAACCACGAAGCACGUGUCUAGAGGCAUGCGUCUUCAAGACCGAAGAGGAGUAGCAGACGAUUGGGGUUAAAGAUAGCUUCUCGUAGCAGUGUGACAGCCGCUACAACAAGUGGGCAAGUCAUCAAGGUAAAGAAGAAAAUAUGAAGAAGGAAAGGCCAGAUCUAGGCGGCACACCGACGCCGCUUGUGCGUCGUGGCUCAUCCAGAUAUGUCUCUCUUGACUACGACCGCUAGGUGCUUGGAUAAAUGCCCCGCAGCUGUGGCUC